rnacentral:rRNA from 1 species
GGGAUAAUCGGGAGAAAUCCCGUCUAAUACCGCGUAAUGCCGCGGGGCUGCAUGGCCCUGCGGCCAAAGGGAGCGAUUCCGGCAACGGAUGGGCAUGCGUGACAUUAGCUAGUUGGCGGGGCAACGGCCCACCAAGGCGACGAUGUCUAGGGGUUCUGAGAGGAAGGUCCCCCACACUGGUACUGAGACACGGACCAGACUCCUACGGGAGGCAGCAGUGAGGAAUAUUGGUCAAUGGGCGCGAGCCUGAACCAGCCAAGUCGCGUGAGGGAUGACGGCCCUACGGGUUGUAAACCUCUUUUGUCGGGGAGCAAAUUCCGCCACGUGUGGCGGAGUCGAGAGUACCCGAAGAAAAAGCAUCGGCUAACUCCGUGCCAGCAGCCGCGGUAAUACGGAGGAUGCGAGCGUUAUCCGGAUUUAUUGGGUUUAAAGGGUGCGUAGGCGGACUGUCAAGUCAGCGGUAAAAUACGGGGGCUCAACCUCCGCCCGCCGUUGAAACUGACGGUCUUGAGUGGGCGAGAAGUAUGCGGAAUGCGUGGUGUAGCGGUGAAAUGCAUAGAUAUCACGCAGAACUCCGAUUGCGAAGGCAGCAUACCGGCGCCCGACUGACGCUGAAGCACGAAAGCGUGGGUAUCGAACAGGAUUAGAUACCCUGGUAGUCCACGCAGUAAACGAUGAGUAAUAGCUGUCCGGG